rnacentral:tRNA from 1 species
GCCUUCGUGGUAUAAUGGUCAGCACACUCGUGCGUAUUCGAGAUGUACGAGGUUCGAGUCCUGGCGAGGGCA